CACGAACGCUGGCGGCAGGCUUAACACAUGCAAGUCGAGCGCCCCGCAAGGGGAGCGGCAGACGGGUGAGUAACGCGUGGGAAGCUACCCAUCUCUACGGAAUAACGCAUGGAAACGUGUGCUAAUACCGUAUACGUCCUUCGGGAGAAAGAUUUAUCGGAGAUGGAUGAGCCCGCGUUGGAUUAGCUAGUUGGUGGGGUAAAGGCCUACCAAGGCGACGAGCCAUAGCUGGUCUGAGAGGAUGAUCAGCCACACUGGGACUGAGACACGGCCAAGACUCCUACGGGAGGCAGCAGUGGGGAAUAUUGGACAAGGGGCGCAAGCCUGAUCCAGCCAUGCCGCGUGAGUGAUGAAGGCCCUAGGGUUGUAAAGCUCUUGCACCGGUGAAGAUAAUGACGGUAACCGGAGAAGAAGCCCCGGCUAACUUCGUGCCAGCAGCCGCCGUAACAC
rnacentral:rRNA from 1 species